GAGGGUAUAGUUCAUUGGUAGAGCACGUGCUUAACAUGCGUGAGGUCCUGGGUUCAAUCCCCAAUAUUUCCG
rnacentral:tRNA from 1 species